UCUCUGCCGGCUGUCCAGUUCCACCUUGGUUUGUGCAACCACCCUGGAUCUCCGAACUCUGUGCAGCUGCUCCGUCCACCAUAUCUUGCGGCGGCGAGCGCUAAGAAUUCAUGCUACGACACUCGAUUCAGCCAGGAGGUGACACCAAAUGUGAUCAGAAGCCAUGCCCAUGGUGAAGAGGUAUACUGAACCCGGCCUGGCCCAGUGAGGUUACUAGAGAAUUGGGAAAGGCUUAAAUAAGUAUCCUGCACAUGGUUAUCAAAUCAUUGUAAAGUCUUGAAAAUCAUCUGGAAUGCUUGUUAAAAAUGCAGAUUUCUGGGCAGCCAGAAACCUUGCACUAGUCAAGAGCAACACUAAGACCCACCUGUCAUUUAUAUUGAGGCUUCCUGCCCGGUGGGUUCAUCAGCAAGCCAGAAUGAAUCACCAUUGCUGUGUGUGGAUCCUUGUGAGGCAGCUGGGAAGUCUUGGCUAAAUUGUGAAGGAUGUCUUUUGAAAAGUGUUCUAGAGAGUCUACUGGUUUUCCCACAUGAGUGAACGUGUAGCAGAAGAGAGGAUCCUCUCAGUGAUUAAGGAUAGGAGGAAUUAAUCCUUCCAUUGCUAUGUAAAAAUGAGAUCUGGACAAAGGAACAGCCAUCUCAGUCAAGCGACCUUAGAAACAACUUGUUGAGUUCUCACCAUGAAUACCAUUGGAAUUGCAGUUGGAAUGGCAUUAAACAUGUAGAUUAAUUUUUGGAGAGCGAUCAUCUUUAUAAUCUUCUCCUACAUGAAUGUGUUUCUCCUCUGCUGCCUUUUGAGCUGCCAGGCACUGUGCUGGGUGAUGGGGAUAUGGAGACGAAUUAGACACAGUUCCUGCCCUCAGGAGUUCUCAGUCUAGUGAGAGAGUUCGACAUGUACACAGAUAAUUACAACAUAUGGUAUGCUCUACAAUGGAGGUAUGUACAAGAUACUAUGGGGUUCAGAAGAGAAAUCAUUUGAUUGAGUGGGGAAAUGGCUGAGGUUGGAGGAACUGAUGCUUAAGUGGAUUCUUAAAGGAAGUAAAGGUUGGCCAGGCAGAAAACAGAGAAGGACCUUUUAAGCAAAGGCAUGGACACUGGAAAUAGAAUGAUGAAAUGGGGGAACUGCAAGUAGUUCCUGAAAUUAGGUUAGAAAUGUAAGCUGAGAAUAGAUCCUAAUAAGUAUUCCAUGAACUUUGGAUUUCGUUUGGAGCGUUUAAGUAGGGGAUGCUUUUGAAGGUCACUUUGGCAGUACUAUAGAGUAUGUUCUGGAAGAUUUUCAAACCUGGACAGGGAGAUUAGUUAGAAAUACACCAUAGUAGAGAAGAUGAUAAAUGAUCAAAGGCCAAAAGGAUUGGGAGUGGAGAAGAGGGGAUAGACUCUUUAAUAAGAGGCUAUAAAAACAUGGACAGUUCUAGAACAUGGAAAAAUUAAGGUGGUAAAGAGGGAAAAAUUAGGGCUCUCAGACUUUGGCAAAUGUGCGUCCACCUACUUCCAUUCCUGGCCUUGUUGAGAUCCUCUCAUGUUUAUUUUUAUUAUGUUUAUGAAUGUUUAUUUAUUUAUUUUGAGAAUGAGAAAGUGGGAGUUGGGGGGAGGCAGAGAGAGAGGGAGAAAAUUCCCAGCAGGCUCUAUGCUGUCAGUGCAGAGCCCAACGUGGGGCUCCAUCUCACAAGCCGUGAGAUCAUGACCUGAGCCCAAAUCAAGAGUCAGAGGUUUUUCUGACUGAGCCACCCAGGGACCCCAUCCUCUCAUGUUUUUUAGAUGGGCAUUGCUAUUGAUUUCUUUUGGACCAGAGCUUGACUCUACAGAUUUGAUAAGUUUUGUUCUGGGAUGGCAGCUGUAUAUGAAAUGUUGAUUCUCAGAAAGACAUCUGAACAGCUGUAGACCUCUAAUAGUAUUACUUAGUUCCUUGCCCUUCUCAUCAGUAGUAGGUUUCCCUCACCAUCACAUUGUCUCCCAAAGUCAGAGAGGAAGCUUUUCCCUCUAAAACCCACUCAGGGGAGAAAUGGCCCUAGUUGUGACUGUCUCAAUUGUUUUAUUGUUUGUUGAAUGAAAAAAAUGAAUCAUCAACAGACAUUAAUUGUGGACACCUGCUCUGUAAUCUCCAUGGACUCAUCUUAGGGAUUUUACAACGUUUGUGGUUACAUCUCCAAGUAAAAUAUAUCCAGUAAUCAAAAAUCUAAACAUAUUCAGUAUUCAUUUCCUGUUUUCUCAAAGCAAUAUAAAAAUGUUCUGUGGACAGUUCUCCACCUAAGGCUCAGAGUAGUGACCUUAGGGAUUCAGAGAAUGGAUUUCUGUGACUAGAAUGAUUAAUAGGAGAUUAUAUUUAAGUAGACCUUAUGUAUUUUCAGUGGACCUUAUGUAAGUAGCCAUCCUAGAGGGCAGUAGGGGGAAGAAGGAUUGGGAGAGGAAGCUCUGAAUAGGACGGCAAAGCAGUACAUAAGAGUCUGGGCCUUGGGACUAAAUAUCCUAGGCUCAAAUCUGCUCUUAAACUCACCAGUGUGGUAUUGAGCAUGGUUUUUCACCUCUCUGGGACUUGCCUUUCUCUUAUGUAAAAUAGGGGUAAUGGUCUUUUCUGCAUGUAAAAUGGGGGUAAUGGCCUUUUCUGUGAUGAUUUGGAUGGGGAUGGGGGUAGGUGUAAGGAUUUAAUGGGAUUAUUGUACAUUUCUUAGAACAAGUCUGGAAUGUGCCAAAUGCUAUUAUCAACUGUCGUUGCCACUAAUAAUGAUGUUGACCAUGUCUGGGAUUAAAAGAAGAUAGUUAACCAGAGGUGCUUAUGUCUUACAUUGUCAAUGAGGCUCUUCGGGUGUGAGAAAGAAAGGGAAACUAACUGGCCUGAAGGUUUUCAAUGGUAUGUUAGUAUGAAGUCAACUCUCUACCUUCUUUUUCUUCUCUGCCAAAUAGGUUGGGAAACCAGAUGAAUUUUGUCCAUGCCCUGAUCACUAAUCUAUUGCCUUUGCUCUUAUUUCCAAAUAGAAACCUGUUGAAAAGUUGUGUUACACCUGAAUAAAGGUUAUCCUAAAAAUGUAGAAAAAUGCUUUGGAGUUGGUCAAAACUGGACUUGAAACCUGACUCAACUGCUUACUAGCUGUGUGAUCUAAGACAUGUUACUUAACCUCACUGAACCUCAGUUUUUUCAUCGAAUAUAAUAAUUAAUUUGCAGGGUUUCUCUGAGGAUAUUUGUGAAGUUAUGUCAUAAGCACUAAGUCAUAGCUGUCAUUGUUAGUUCUUGGGAUACUCACCACGUGACAGAAACAACAGCGGGCCCUGGUGGCUGGGAGGACUGCAUGGAUCCAACCUCAACCUGGAGUUGUGCUCUUCUGAAGAAAUCCUACUCGGAUGGAUAUAAUACAACCUGCUAAGUGUCCUCGCACUUAUCAGGUUGUAUUAUCAUUGUCCGUGUCUAUGGCUCUCGUCUACCAGACUCUAAAUUCCUUACAGGCAAGGACAGUGCCUUGUUCAUCUUUGUAUUCGGUGCCUAAUCCCGUGCACAUUGUAGGCCUCAUUAAAUGUUUGUUGAAUGAAAAAAUGAAUCAUCAACAGACAUUAAUUGGGCGCCUGCUCUGUGAUCUCCAUGGGCUCAGCUUUUCCCCGCCAGUUGCCUACAACGUCCAAGCUGUCUUCAAUAUGCUUUCUCCUGGAGCUUACUCCUAUCUUCUCACUCUUUUGCUGGGGACUUUUCUGUGUAGUACAAAGAUAGCAGAUAUACUUCAUCUCAAGUACCAUCUCCAAUUGGUCAAUAGUACCUGCCUUGAUUAUGUUUCACAAAAAUGAUGCUGAAGCCAGGUCUCACUCAGUUCAGUGUGAAAGAGAGUUAUAACUAAUUAGCUAUGUUUACUGAAGGUGGGAGAAGGGGGAAUAGCAGCCUAAGUGACACAUAUAUAUCAUAUUUAAUAUGUUUUCCGUGAAAUAUUCUGUUUCCAUGCCUGUAUUUUAGUCUUGGCUACUUGCAGAUGUUGCAUGCCUGCUGCUGCUGCUGCUGCUACUACUACUACAGUUGCUGCUGAUUGCUCCUUGGGUAGGACCAAAGUGAUCAUUGAUCAGAAACUUCAUCCUCACAGUCUGGGGGUUGCUCCUGUGGCUGGUAUUCACAGUUUCCCCUUUCAACUUUACCUCAGCUAUCCCCUUACCUACAGUGACAGGUAGGCCUCCACUUUCCGUUCACCACUCAACAGGCUCCUAUUUCCUUUUCCUUCUUUAGUCUGAUUAAUGACUCUUGUUCCAUGAGAAGCCUUCUUUCUGGUAGAAGAUGUGACAAAUACAGUACAAGUUAAAUGAUUCCGUCAGGGCGCUACAGUGAGUCAUAUAAGCUGCCCUUUAAUGUGGGAGAAAAUGGAGUAUGCUUGCAGACUUUGGGGCAGGAAGAACAGAGAAGGAAGUCAUUGUUGAUGGGGGAAAGAAAGACACUAACAGAUGGAAUAAGUUCCUGAAAAAUGAUGGCAGAAGGGAGGGUGAAACCUAUGACUCUAAAAUAGGGGGAGAGAGAGCACCUCAGAUGAAAGGAAUUACCUCCUCGCUGGAGCAUAGGGAUAGGAGUUAGGAGAAACAUGUGACAAGGGUGUUGAAGAUUUGUAAUUGUUGAUGUGGAUGAUGGAGAGGAAGCUGACAGGAUUAUGGGACAGGGAUUAUGGGACAGGAUUAUGGGGACAAAUAAUCCAGGAACAGGAUUAUGGGGACAAAUCCAGGGACAGGAUUAUGGGACAAACCAGAGUCCAAGGGAUAUUUGGGCCAAAAGGCUAGAGUGGGGCCUUUCGGUCUAUUAAAGUGAGAUACUAUUAUAUUAAAUUAUAUACUAAAUUAAAGUAAGAAACCAGAAACUUGAGAAACUUUAAAGUGGUCUUAGGCCACCCGUCACAAGUAGCUUGAUUGCCUGGGACUGACCUUUAUUGGUUGAGGGAUGGACAGCUAGCAAGAGAGGGGCUACACAGAAAUGAAUUUGAAACUCCAGACUAUAUGUGGAAGGAAGUUAGAUCAGAAGUGAGCUGAAAGUCUGUGAAUGAAAAAAAGGCCCUAGUGUGAUCAAGAUGGGUGUUGGGUAGUUGGAAAUUGGAAUAAUAGAACCUGUAAUCAGAGAGUGGAUUUUGAAACAUUAAGAUUGCAAAACCAGAGUGGUCAAGGUAACUUGUAAAGUGAGGUUGUCAGAUGGUCAGUUACAUAAAUACUGAAGUAACCCCGGACUAUAGCAAAACCCAAGCUGGGAAUGAACUCUGGAGGCCAGGUGUAACAGGCCUUGAUGCCUGAGGAGUGAUUUAGAGGUUGGCACAUGGCAACUGUGCAGGUGUAAGAGAAGAAACGAUGUAGUGGGAUAGUUGUAUGAGCCACGGAGGAGCGGUAGGGAUCAUUAGAAGUUACCAAAACCAUGAUCUGCACAUUGCUCCGAGGUGUUGGCUUGCAGAAUGCCUAGCUAAAGUGAUCCCCUCCUCUAUCGGGUGCUUGCUCUAUACCCAGCACCUUGCUGUGUGCUAACCAUUUACCCUGUCUGGGUCUGUCACAUAUCAGGUAUGAGAAAAUAAGCAGCAUUCCCGAGCAAGGACAGCUAGGGGAGCUGCUGGCCCUUUGAAUUGACAGAAUGCUGUGGCCGUGUCUACAGACUGGUCAGCUUGAAGUGGCAUCAAAAGAUUUCUUUUGGACCCAAAUUUUUCCUUGACCUUGACCUAACUUUAUCCACGUGGUACAAAUUUGUGUUGGCUGUUCCAUAAUGUACUUUGACUUCUGAGUCUCUGACUUGAGGAGUAUGCUAGAACUGUCCUUUAAAAAACAACAGGCACAGCACAUUAAAAACACAGAUUAAUUAACUAGAACAAGGGGGCCCUGUUACAUAAUUGAGCUUUUAAGAUAAAGGAUAGACAAAAGAAAGCUCAGUGUGUAACAACAGCACUUUGUGACAGCCACUCUAAGGUCAGGAUACAUCUAGUUUAGUGGCCAUAUUGUACAUAUUCCCUGUGUUGUUGGGAAGAAGGGCUGGAAAUUGAUGCAGAGAGAUGUCCCUUAGGACUUGGAAUGUAAAGUUUAGGAGAAGAGAAUCUCCAUGAAUCCUGUGACACUGCAUGUCAUCAUUUUUCCUCUGUUAUAGUCUUUGAAUGAGUCAAUAUUUCAAUGAAGGGGUAGAGCCCUUGAGACAGAGUUCCCAGGCCCUUAGACGGUGCAUCCCCUCCUUUGGGGCCGCUUUAUAUUUAUUCCUCAGGAGGAUCUGGUAGAAGACUUCGUGUGAGGAAGAAGAAAAAGAAAGAAGCAGAGAAUCACUACAGCAUGUCUUCAUAUCAGCUUCACAAAGCACGACUCAACAGAGGGCUUACUCUCUUGAGACUCCAGACCACAGGUUGCUCUUUUCAAUUGCACGUUUGGCCCUCUCAGCUACUUCCUACAUUCAGAAAUUGUACUGUAUGUGCAUGUAUGAACUAUCAUUUCCCAUAAAGACUACCCCGUGUUCACAGCAAAAAAAAAAAAAUCCCUAAAAUAAGGUAUAAUGCUUGUUCUGUUAGGUUUCCAAUAGUCACAAAUUGCUGGAUCUCCACUGCUGUAAUACAGGCCACGAGAGAUGAGUUUGGGUUUCGGAAACAAAGGACCCCAGCUUCCUGGAAGGAAGGCAGUCAGUUGACUUGAAAGUAACCCCUGUCCCUGCAUUCUUAUUAUUUCUUUUUCCUUCAGCCCCUUGACUAAGAUACCACUGAUGAAAGCAAACAAAGCCAUACUUUCCCCUUCCGCUGGCACUUUUCUGGCCUACAUAUAUGCCUUUAGGAGUCACUCUCUCUUUAUCAGCACUUCCUUCUUCCCAUCUCUUAAGACCCAGAGAGUCAUGAAUGCUAGAGUUGGGGUUGAACUUGUCACACCUACCUCCUGCAGUUGGGGAAUACUAAUGUUAAUCAGCCUGAUACCCACUUCCACCUGAUAAUCAUGGCAGCCACUGGAGAAGCUGUACCAAAGGCCAGCAACCGUAUGGACCCCAGCCCCAAGACUCACUCCUGAUGUCUUAACUGAUUGUGAAAAACUAGUAGGAGGGCUUGCCCCACCCCAGCCCCCUUCUGAGUUGGUCAUCAGAGAUCAGGACUUGUCUUAGGGCCUAUGUUACAUAAGGACAGAUAUCUCAUAAACAGUAUCAGGAGUCCUGGUUACCUUUUAUCUCUCUUGGGGAUGGGCAGGAUAGGGCAUAAGGAUAAGUGGUAAGUCUUGUGCCUUUCACAUAUAUUCCCAGUGAUUCCUCAGGACACCCUUGGUCACACCAUCUGGUGCCUAAUCCUGGGUCUCGCCUCUUCAAAGCUUUCCUAGUGUGUUCCUUGCUCUCACUAACCACCUUUUAUUUCCUGCCCCAUCCUGAUGGAUUUCAGCAGGUGUUUUUUCUUUUCCCUUCCUCAGGCCAUCUGUAACAGCCUUUCAUCUGGAAGGAGCCUUGUGAAUGAGUGAAUGAAACUUCAUACAUUUCCAGAAUUGGACUCACUGAGUUUGAAUGAGAGUAUUAUUAAGGCAUCUGAAAGGAAUCACAUUUAAGAUUCUAUCAUCAAAUCCAAGGUCAUGAAGAUUUAUUCCUAUUUUCUACUGAAAGUUAUAGAGAUUUAACUCUUGUAUUUGGGAUGCUGAUACAUUUUGAGUUAAUUCCGUAGAAGGUGGAAGAACCCACCAAUAAAUCCACUAGCUGUCUCUGCAGAAGCCUGGACUCAAGGUCAACUAAUAAGGUUCCAGCCUAUGAAGAAGCAAAGUUCCAUUCAGUUUAUGCCAGUUCUGAGAGCAUGCAAGUAGCUCCUUCUUCUUGUCCUAAAAUAACCUCCUGACAUCAGGGACUGAAUUUUGCCUCAUUUUGAUGUUAACUUUCCACCCCAAAGUGAACAAGGAAUGUAUUUACAUAUAUGUUUGCUCAAUGAGCAUGUUCUACCUUUCCUCAUGAAUAGUCACAAGUUUCCCCACUCUUUUCUUCAAUAUGUAUGUAAUCUCAACUCCUAUGGUUAUAAAAAACUUGUUCUCUCCACCUUUGCGGAGUUGGAUUUGAGGCUUGCCCUCCUGUCUCGUUUGGCUGCCUCUCAAAUAAACCCUUUCCUUACUGCAUACUGUUAUUUUAAAAUGCAUAGAUUCAUCUAAACAACACGAAGCAAAAACUUCUAUAACCAAGAAAAUAACUUGUCUACUCUCAUACUUAACCUCAGGAAAACAACUUAUUCUGUGUUACUAUACUUUGCUUUUACCAAAACAUCAUCUGUAUAUAGGAAUUUUGAAUAUGGAUUCUUUCACCUACCAAAACCCAUUUGAAAUUCAUCUAUAUUGCUCAUGUAUCAAUAGUUCAUUCUGCAUUAUUGUUUAGUUUUACAUUAUAUGGAUGUAGCACAUUUUAUUCAUCCAAUACUCUAUUUGAGGGUCAUUCAGGUUUUUUUCCAGUUUGAGCUGACAAAAAAAAAAAGCUACUAUGUUUUGAUGGUGCACAACAUUAAUGCACAGUUCUAUGUUAGAACACAGAUUAUUAUUUCAACUUGGAUAAAUACCUUUAAGAGUAACUGCUUGGCCAUAUAAUAGAUGUACAUUUAAUUUUAUAAGAAACUGACAAACUGCUUUUACAAAGUACCUGUCUCAUUUGAUAAGCAAUGCAUAGGAAUUCCAUUUAUUCUGUAUCUUUAGCAGCACUUUAAAAUGUUGGUUUUUCUUAUUCAGCCGUUCAAGAUGUUUAGUGACGUCAUGGUGAUUUUAAUCACCAUUUCCUUAAUGACAAAUGGAUGCUAUUUUUCUAUUUGCUUGUGUAUUAAUAAAAAAUAUAUUUCCA